rnacentral:sRNA from 1 species
ACCGGCCUGUGGUACAGACCUAUUUAUGCACGACAUCCUGAGUAAAGUUGUUCCAAUUUAAAGCGUUAUCCAUGAUAACCCUGCUCUGACGAAUUUCCUUCUUAGUGCCUCCAUAAGUAACGACUGAAAUCCGGCUAUAACAUGCCCAUGGUGGCGAAAUUUAUUUUUAAAAGGUAAUUCCUAUGUCAAUGAUGAAAGGUCAGGUUAAGUGGUUUAACGAGUCUAAAGGCUUUGGCUUCAUCACUCCUGCUGACGGCAGCAAAGAUGUGUUCGUACACUUCUCCGCUAUCCAGGAUCAAGGUUUCAAGACCCUGGCUGAAGGCCAGAACGUACAGUUCACUAUCGAGAACGGUGCUAAAGGUCCGUCUGCGGCUAACGUUACCGCUAUCUAAUCUUACUUUACCGCUGUUUCAGCGAUAAAAGUACAGAUGACAAAAACCCGCAUGCGCGGGUUUUUUUACG